rnacentral:rRNA from 1 species
GACAGAGGGUGCAAACGUUGUUCGGAAUUACUGGGCGUAAAGCGCGUGUAGGCUGCUGCGAAAGUCAGGUGUGAAAGCCCCGGGCUCAACCUGGGAAGUGCACUUGAAACCUCGCAGCUCGAGUGCCGGAGAGGGUAGCGGAAUUCUCGGUGUAGAGGUGAAAUUCGUGAGAUAUCGAGAGGAACACCGGUGGCGAAGGCGGCUACCUGGACGGCUAUUGACGCUGAGACGCGAAAGCGUGGGGAGCAAACAGG